GACGAACGCUGGCGGCGUGCUUAACACAUGCAAGUCGAACGCUGAAGCUCAGCUUUUGUUGGGUGGAUGAGUGGCGAACGGGUGAGUAACACGUGAGUAACCUGCCUUCUUCUUUGGGAUAACGCCCGGAAACGGGUGCUAAUACUGGAUAUUCACUGGUCUUCGCAUGGGGGCUGGGGGAAAUGGUUUUUCUGGUGGGGGAUGGGCUCGCGGCCUAUCAGCUUGUUGGUGGGGUGAUGGCCUACCAAGGCUUUGACGGGUAGCCGGGCUGAGAGGGUGACCGGUCACAUUGGCACUGAGAUACGGCCCAGGCUCGUACGGGAGGCAGCAGUGGGGAAUAUUGCACAAUGGGUGCAAGCCUGAUGCAGCGACGCCGCGUGAGGGAUGGAGGCCUUAGGGUUGUGAACCUCUUUCGCUAAUGGUCAAGCCGCAACAAUGGUUGUGGUGAGGGUAGUGGGUAAAGAAGCGCCAGCUAACUACGUG
rnacentral:rRNA from 1 species